GUCUACAGCCAUACCACCCUGAACGCACCUGAUCUCGGAAGUUAAGCAGGGUUGGAACCGGUUAGUAUUUGGAUGGGAGAAUUACCCCCUGUUCUCUGGGAUU
rnacentral:rRNA from 1 species